GUAUUCCCAGGACAAAGCACAUAUACUAAAAUUGGAAUGAUACAUAGAAGAUUAGCAUGACCCCUGAGCAAGUAUGAUAUUUCAUUGUUUAUAUGUGACUCUUGGCUAA